rnacentral:rRNA from 1 species
ACCGGCGCACGGGUGCGUAACGCGUAUGCAACCUACCCACAACUGGAGGAUAGCCCGGAGAAAUUCGGAUUAAUACUCCAUAAUGCAGGGGUACCACCUGGUACUAUUUGCUAAAGAUUUAUUGGUUGUGGAUGGGCAUGCGUCUGAUUAGUUAGUUGGUGAGGUAACGUCUCACCAAGACGAUGAUCAGUAGGGGGUCUGAGAGGAUGAUCCCCCACACUGGCACUGAGAUACGGGCCAGACUCCUACGGGAGGCAGCAGUAGGGAAUAUUGGGCAAUGGAGGCAACUCUGACCCAGCCAUGCCGCGUGAAGGAUGAAGGCCUUCUGGGUUGUAAACUUCUUUUAUACAGGAAGAAAAAGGUCAUGCGUGACCAAUUGACGGUACUGUAUGAAUAAGCACCGGCUAACUCCGUGCCAGCAGCCGCGGUAAUACGGAGGGUGCAAGCGUUGUCCGGAUUUAUUGGGUUUAAAGGGUGCGCAGGCGGUGCGUUAAGUCAGUGGUGAAAUCUCUCGGCUCAACCGAGAAACUGCCAUUGAUACUGGCGUACUUGAGUACGGACGAGGUAGGCGGAAUUUAUGGUGUAGCGGUGAAAUGCAUAGAUACCAUAAAGAACACCGAUAGCGAAGGCAGCUUACUAGACCGUAACUGACGCUCAUGCACGAAAGCGUGGGGAGCGAACAGGAUUAGAUACCCU